rnacentral:misc_RNA from 1 species
GAUGAAGAACGUAGUGAAAUGCGAUAAGUAAUGUGAAUUGCAGAAUUCAGUGAAUCAUCGAAUCUUUGAACGCACAUUGCGCCCGCCAGUAUUCUGGCGGGCAUGCCUGUUCGAGCGUCAUUUCAACCCUCAAGACCCCUUCGGGGGACUUGGUGUUGGGGACCGGCACAGGGGCCUGCCUGCUUGUCUUGCAGCGCCCUCGCCGCCCCCGAAAUGAAUUGGCGGCCUCGUCGCGGCCUCCCCUGCGUAGUAGCACAACCUCGCAACGGGAACGUGACGGCGGCCACUGCCGUAAAACAACCCAAUUUUAUUAGAGUUGACCUCGAAUCAGGUAGGAAUACCCGCUGAACUUAAGCAUAUCAAUAAGCGGAGGA